GACGAACGCUGGCGGCGUGCCUAAUACAUGCAAGUCGAACGAGAGCGACCGGUGCUUGCACUGGUCAAUCUAGUGGCGAACGGGUGAGUAACACGUGGGUAACCUGCCCAUCAGAGGGGGAUAACAUCCGGAAACGGAUGCUAAAACCGCAUAGGUCUUCGAACCGCAUGGUUUGAAGAGGAAAAGAGGCGCAAGCUUCUGCUGAUGGAUGGACCCGCGGUGCAUUAGCUAGUUGGUGAGGUAACGGCUCACCAAGGCCGUGAUGCAUAGCCGACCUGAGGGGGUGAUCGGCCACAAUGGGACCGAGGAACGGCCCAAACUCCUACGGGAGGCAGCAGUAGGGAAUCUUCCGCAAUGGACGGAAGUCUGACGGAGCAACGGCGCGUGAGUGAAGAAGGUUUUCGGAUCGGAAAACUCUGUUGUUAGGGAAGAACAAGUGCUAGAGUAACUGUUAGCGCCUUGACGGUAUCUAACCAGAAAGCCACGGCUAACUACGUG
rnacentral:rRNA from 1 species